rnacentral:lncRNA from 1 species
GCUGGCCAAACUCCAGCCCUACCUUCCUGCUUUUAGCGGACCUCCAUCUUAGUGCUGUCGGCAUUUGCGAUCAUUUGCUACAAAAAUCUCUGAUCGCCGGCGAAACAGGCCUGCUUCUGCUGUAUAACUACCUUUUUUCUGUUCUGCCUACUUAAAUAACUUUUAAUCUUGUUUAAUCAUGUCCUGGGAUGGAUAUGUUGGAAACAUGGAAGGUGAGGGAUGCAGCUAUGUGGGCUUCUUUGACUUGCAAGGCAACAAAUGGGCAGAAUCCCGCAAUCCCAUACUGGCUAUAACUCCUGAACAAAUCAGGCAUAUUGUCAAUGCCAUCGCAUCUUCAAACACCGUCGACCUCCGUGCAAGCGGGGCCAAGCUGGGCACUCGCAAGUUUAUUUGUGUCUUUCAAGAUGAAAAUGUUGUUGUUCUGAAGCAGCUUGGUGGUGAUGCAGAUGAUAAGCUGAUGGUCAGUGUUGGCCGUUUCUUCAAAGGCUGUGUUGUUGGUGCUGCACCAGGAGGAGAAAGAGAAAAAUGCAGUAGAAUCAGUGUAGAAAAAUACACUGAAUACCUGAAAUCCAUCAAUUAUUAAGUUUUACUUUUUCCUCUGCGCAAGCUCACCAGUGCAUUUGCUGGGUGUGAUUGUAGUUUUAUGUCAGUAUGAGUGCAUUCUGUGCUUUUGAAGUCUGUCGUUAUAUAGUCUGAAAUAAACCUCUUACUUCCUUAGAGCAAAUUUUUGUUGACAAAAUGUUCCCACCAGAAUAUUGCAAAACGGGUGCCAAGGAUCAUUAAAGUUUUCAGUUGUUUCCAUUGAAGAUCUAAUUGCACUGGAUUCUUAAUAAGUGUUGAUGCGAAUAUGAAGUUUGAAAAACUAGUGUUCAGUGUAUGAUUACAGAAUAUUAAUAGGGAUGUUGAUGGGUUGCCAAGAAGUAGUUUUAUUGAUUCCUCAUUUACAUCGCUCCCUGGAAAUCAAAGAUCUGUUUGCUCAAGAAAGUUAAGCAAAGGAAUCUUGCAAAAACAAUUCAUAAUAAAUUAGGAUGUGAUUAUGUUUUGGCAAUAAUAAAAAUUUGUCAGCAUUGUCCUAAAUUUCCUUUAUCAAUUUUAAUUGUGCGAGUAGGCUAUAGGGAAAGUAGUUUCACCUUUCAUAACUUGGGUUAGUAAACUAAAUUUGUUGCUAUAUGACCAAAAUAUUGUGUGUUACUUAACACAACUAUUUUUGUUGAAAGCUUUGGUAGAUUACAAAAGUUAGCAACAGCAUUAGAAGCCUGUCUUUUGUCUUUCUUUGCAUCAUAUGCAAAAUCUGCUCUUACAGCUAUUUGCUGUUUUGUUAAGCAGUUUAUUGUCUCAUACUCUAACCUUUUCCAUUGGGUGUAUGAAGCUGUUGGCUGUGAGUGGUACUUUCCUCUGUGAAGUAUAUUGCAAUUUUGGCUGUGUUACGGCCCUUAAAGGGCUUUUCUCUUUUCUUCCUCUGUCUCAGAUGUGAGAAUGAGUAUGUGAGUGUGGUGUCCUAUGGCAUUUCUUCAACUUUAGAUUUUCAACUUCCUUUAUUUAAAGGACUCACCAUGAUAGAACCUUAGUUGCUAGCAUGAUGUAAAGCACAACCAACCAUUCCAAGAAAUUUAGUUUUUUGUUUGAUAUGAACAGAUUAGUGUUAAACGGUGAUUGGGACAAAUCACAUUCCUAUAGGGACAGUUGUUUUUGUUUUGUUUUUUGUUUUUGUUUUUUCACUUUAUUGGGAACACAAUGUGGAUUGUUGUAGAUUACAGGUAAACAAAAACGUGGGGCUUUGCUUUACUGUUGAAAGUUGUGGCUGGACAAGACCAUAAGUUACAUCAUCAAUAUGAAGAAAUUUACAGAUGGAUUAAGUAAUGCAAUACUACAAUGCUCAACCCUGCAGUAAUGCCUUUCACUGCUUGCUUUUCAGAAUGUUAUGGCUAUAUGCUUGGGGAUAUGAAACUCAGAUUAAUUUUACGUAGUUGGGGCAAACUGUUCAUUUGAUUAUCAAAUUCUUUCUUUUAAAAUUAGUUUGUGGGUUCCUUGAGAGGCUUGACUCGGUGUAGAUUUGCUGUUGUGUUUAAAACAAAUGCUAUGGUAUUUUUCACUGUUUUGCAAACUAAAAUCACCCAUGAAAAUUGUGUGUAAACAUUUCCAGUAAGACUUUUGUUUUCCAUUAAUACAAGUGUUGAGUUUCUUGUAGAACUGCACGGGUAAUGCCCCUUAGUUAGAAAUUCUUCUCUCAGGUGUUCAGUUUUUCAUGAAAUUUACCUGCAGAACUAGUCAUUUCUCAGACUCAUCAGAGCAACAAGAAUGAUUUUCACGCAGUAUUUGCUUGUAUUUGUAAAUUCUUUUUCUCCCCUCUUGAACAGAUUUUGGGAGUGUUCUACUGUAUCUUUAAAGGGUAAUAAACAAACUGCUUUUGUCUGUCUUGUGUUUUUUCUUUUAAGCCAAACCUAAUUUUUAGCAUAUGCCUACAGAUCUGCCUGGUUCUGUUGCCUGAUCAUUUGAAAUAUUUUACAUUAUUUUCCUUAUUAAAAAUACAUGGUUAA